rnacentral:rRNA from 1 species
AUGGACCUGGACCCCGAGGGCAUCUUCCGCGACGACAGCGACGAGGACGACGACAACCUCCAUGAGAGGGAGGCCAACAAGGAGAUGGUCGUCUACCUCAUAGACGCCUCGCCCAAGAUGUUCACCCCCGCCAACGCCGCCAAGCCAGAUGAGAAUCAGGAGACACAUUUCCAUACCAUAGUGAACUGCAUCACGCAGUCUCUGAAGACACAGAUUAUCGGGAGAUCCCGUGAUGAAGUUGCAAUAUGCUUCUUCAACACCAAAGAAAAGAAAAAUUUACAGGAGCUGGCUGGUGUAUAUGUUUACAAUGUCACAGAACGAGAGCAACUUGAUAGGCCUGAUGCAAGACUGAUUAAAGAAUUUUCUUGUGUAGAAGAUUCUUUUAUGAAUAACAUUGGAAGCCGGUAUGGAAUAACCUCUGGAUCUCGAGAGAAUACCCUGUACAAUGCUCUUUGGGUUGCACAGGCACUGCUGCGUAAAGGAUCUGUGAAGACUGUGAGUAAGAGAAUCCUCAUAUUCACCAAUGAGGAUGAUCCUUUUGGUGGUAUUACAGGAGCAGCAAAGACUGAUAUGAUCAGGACCACAAUUCAACGUGCAAAAGAUGCACAAGAUCUGGGCCUGUCUAUUGAACUUCUUCCAUUAAGUAGGCCUGAUGAGGAUUUCAACAUGUCCCUGUUUUAUGCAGAUUUGAUUGGUCUGGAGGGAGAUGAAGUAGUGCAGUACGUGCCAUCUGCUGGUGAAAAGCUGGAGGAUAUGACUGAUCAACUGAGAAAGCGAAUGAUGAAAAAGCGCAAAGUCAAAACUCUCUCAUUUGCAAUUACGAAUGAUGUUUGCAUAGAGGUGAACACAUAUGCGCUAAUCCGUCCAACUGCUCCAGGGACGAUUACGUGGCUUGACUCGAUCAGUAACCUUCCAUUAAAGACUGAAAGGUCUUUCAUAUGCAAUGACACCGGGGCCCUUCUUCAGGCUCCCCAAGAGCGCUUCCAGCUAUACAAUGAUAAAGUUGUUAAAUUUUCUGUUCGUGAAUUGUCUGAUGUGAAGAGGGUUUCAAGUCAUCAUCUUCGCCUUUUAGGGUUCAAGCCAUUGGAUUGCUUAAAAGAUUAUCAUAACUUAAGUCCGUCAACAUUUAUUUACCCCAGUGAUGAGCAAAUAUUCGGAAGCAUUCGUGUGUUCGUUGCUUUACAUAGCUCGAUGCUGCGUCUUGGACGGUUUGCACUUGCGUUUUAUGGGACCCCAACUCGCCCACGGCUUGUAGCCCUUGUUGCACAAGAAGAGGUUAUUUCUUCGAGUGGUCAAGAUGAGCCACCUGGAAUGCACAUGAUCUAUCUUCCAUACUCGGAUGAUGUUAGAUAUCCUGAAGAGGUUCAUCUGACUUCUGGGGAUGCACCUCGCGCUACAGAUGAGCAAAUAAAGAAAGCUUCGAAUCUGUUGAGACGUAUUGACCUGAAGCAUUUCUCAGUACGCCAUUUUGCUAACCCAGGAUUACAAAAACACUACGGGAUUUUGGAGGCCUUAGCUUUAGGUGAGGAUGAGAUGCCGGAUAUAAAGGAUGAGACCCUUCCAGAUGAAGAAGGCUUGGCUAGGCCAGGAGUAGUUAAAGCUAUAGAAGAAUUUAAGGCUGCAGUGUUUGGUGAAAAUUAUGACCAAGAGGAAGCUGAGGCAGCAGCAGCAAAAGGUGGGGCCUCAAAGAAGAGGAAAGCAAUUGCGGAUGCAGCUUCACAGAAAAGCGCGGCUUAUGAUUGGGCAGACCUUGCAGAUAAUGGGAAGCUGAAGGACAUGACAGUGAUGGAUUUGAAGACCUACCUGACGGCGCAUGGCCUCCCGGUUUCUGGUAAGAAAGACGCCAUCAUCAGCAGGAUCUUGACUCAUCUAGGCAAGUGA